rnacentral:rRNA from 1 species
UACAGAGGGGGCAAGCGUUGUUCGGAAUUACUGGGCGUAAAGGGCGCGUAGGCGGCCUGCUAAGUCGAACGUGAAAUCCCCGGGCUCAACCCGGGAACUGCGUCCGAUACUGGCAGGCUUGAAUCCGGGAGAGGGAUGUGGAAUUCCAGGUGUAGCGGUGAAAUGACGUAGAUAUCUGGAGGAACACCGGUGGCGAAGGCGGCAUCCUGGACCGGUAUUGACGCUGAUGCGCGAAAGCCAGGGGAGCAAACGGG